rnacentral:rRNA from 4 species
GUCAUAUGCUUGUCUCAAAGAUUAAGCCAUGCAUGUCUCAGUACAAGCCAAAUUAAGGUGAAACCGCGAAAGGCUCAUUAAAUCAGUUAUGGUUCCUUAGAUCGUACCCACAAUUACUUGGAUAACUGUGGUAAUUCUAGAGCUAAUACAUGCAAACAGAGCUCCGACCGGAGACGGGAGGAGUGCUUUUAUUAGAUCAAAACCAAUCGGUGGCGGGUUCGCUCGUCAUCGUACAACUUGGUGACUCUGAAUAACUUUACGCUGAUCGCACGGUCAUCGCACCGGCGACGCAUCUUUCAAAUGUCUGCCUUAUCAACUGUCGAUGGUAGGUUCUGCGCCUACCAUGGUUGUAACGGGUAACGGGGAAUCAGGGUUCGAUUCCGGAGAGGGAGCCUGAGAAACGGCUACCACAUCCAAGGAAGGCAGCAGGCGCGCAAAUUACCCACUCCCGGCACGGGGAGGUAGUGACGAAAAAUAACGAUACGGGACUCAUCCGAGGCCCCGUAAUCGGAAUGAGUACACUCUAAACCCUUUAACGAGGAUCAAUUGGAGGGCAAGUCUGGUGCCAGCAGCCGCGG